AACGAACGCUGGCGGCAUGCCUAACACAUGCCAGUCGAACGAGACCUUCGGGUCUAGUGGCGCACGGGUGCGUAACGCGUGGGAACCUGCCUUUAGGUUCGGAAUAACUCAGAGAAAUUUGAGCUAAUACCGGAUGAUGUCUUCGGACCAAAGAUUUAUCGCCUUUAGAUGGGCCCGCGUUGGAUUAGCUAGUUGGUGGGGUAAAGGCCUACCAAGGCGACGAUCCAUAGCUGGUCUGAGAGGAUGAUCAGCCGCACUGGGACUGAGACACGGCCCAGACUCCUACGGGAGGCAGCAGUGGGGAAUAUUGGACAAUGGGCGAAAGCCUGAUCCAGCAAUGCCGCGUGAGUGAUGAAGGCCUUAGGGUUGUAAAGCUCUUUUACCCGAGAUGAUAAUGACAGUAUCGGGAGAAUAAGCUCCGGCUAACUCCGUG
rnacentral:rRNA from 1 species